rnacentral:rRNA from 1 species
AUUGAACGCUGGCGGCAGGCCUAACACAUGCAAGUCGAGCGCGAGGCGGACGGGUGAGUAAUGUCUGGGAAACUGCCUGUUGGAGGGGGAUAACUCCUGUAAACGGUAUCUAUUAUCCCAUACCAUCAGAUGUGCCCAGAUGGGAUUAGCUAGUAGGUGGGGUAACGGCUCACCUAGCCGACGCGCCCUAGCUGGUCUGAGAGGAUGACCAGCCACACUGGAACUGAGACACGGUCCAGACUCCUACGGGAGGCAGCAGUGGGGAAUAUUGCACAAUGGGCGCAAGCCUGAUGCAGCCAUGCCGCGUGUGUGAAGAAGGCCUUCGGGUUGUAAAGCACUUUCAGCGGGGAGGCGUUACCCGCAGAAGAAGCACCGGCUAACUCCGUGCCAGCAGCCGCGGUAAUAC